GACGGGGGGGGCAAGUGUUCUUCGGAAUGACUGGGCGUAAAGGGCGCGUAGGCGGAUGGCUUUGUCGGGCGUGAAAUUCCAGGGCUUAACCUUGGGGCUGCGUUCGAGACGGGUUGUCUUGAGUGGGGAAGAGGGUCGUGGAAUUCCCAGUGUAGAGGUGAAAUUCGUAGAUAUUGGGAAGAACACCGGUGGCGAAGGCGGCGACCUGGUCCUUUUACUGACGCUGAGGCGCGAAAGCGUGGGGAGCAAACAGG
rnacentral:rRNA from 1 species